AUUUUUUUGUAUUUCAUAAUUAUAUCUUAAAAAAAUUAAUUGUUUUUCUAUAGGUGUUUUGAAAUAUUAUCUUAAUUGUGAUGAUCCUAAUCCCUUUGAAGAUUCUAUUGAAGAUGGAAAGAAAGCUGUUCAUAAUGUC